GACGAACGCUGGCGGCGUGCUUAACACAUGCAAGUCGAACGGAAAGGCCCUGCUUUUGUGUGGUUCUCGCGUGGCGAACGGGUGAGUAACACGUGAGUAACCUGCCCUGUACUUUGUGAUAACUUCAGGAAACUGGUGCUAAUACCUGCUAGGAGCUCCUGCUGCAUGGUGGGGGUUGGAAAGUUUCGGCGGGUGUGGAUGUACGCGCGGCUAAUGAGCUUGUUGGUGGGGUAGUUGCUUACCAAGGCUUUGGCGGGUAGCCGGCCUGAGAGGGUGAACGGCGACAUUGGGACUGAGAUACGGACCAGACUCCUACGGGAGGCAGCAGGCGGGAAUCUUGCACAAUGAGCCGAAGUCUGAUGAAGCAACGCCGCGUGCGGGAUGAAGGCCUUCGGGUGGUAAACCGCAUUAGCCUGUGACCAAGCGUGAGUGACGGUAAUGAGUAAAGAAGCACCGGCUAACUACGUG
rnacentral:rRNA from 1 species